rnacentral:lncRNA from 1 species
GUGUCACACCACUCUCCUAAGCAUUUUGCAUUGUGGGUUAGUUGCUUCUGCGGUCACAACAGAAGACUUAAAAAUGGUUUUCAAGAUCCUUUUUACUUUACUGGUUCUCCAGAUCCCUCUGGGGAACCUCCCUGGACCUCCUCUGACACGUUAGGUCUCACAGGACCCCGGAGAAGGGGAAUCAUCUUAGAGGAAAAGAAGCAGGAGAGGAUAGGGCCUGGGAAGCCCAGGGACCAGCUUUAGAAAAAGAAAAACAGUAACCACUGUCAAGGGUGGAAUGAGAUUAAGGCACGUCGGGAUAACUGUGAUGAUUACAUUUAAGAGUCUCAGCAGAGUGGGGUGGUGAAUGCAAAUUGCUGUGAUGGGAGAGUAUGUGGGAAGUGAGAAAAUGCAAAUGCUUUCUGUACACUCCUCUUUCAAGAACACUCCCUGUGAAUGGAAGGAGACUGGGUGGAGACAGAUCUUAUUCCAGGCAAAAGAGAGGGGAGAAAGUGAAAGAAGGAGAGUUCUGAUGGCACCCCUAUGAUUGAAGCUGUGUAGUUGUCUGGGUAGAUUCAGUCAGCUGUAUUUGGGCAUAUUCAGGAUAUAAAGUGUGACUAAACUGAACAUAUACUUGGCAGAUUCUCAUCAUGAACCGUGCAUUUAGCAGGAAGAAAGACAAAACAUGGAUGCAUACGCCUGAAGCUUUAUCAAAACAUUACAUUCCCUAUAAUGCCAAGUUUGCAAGACACAUCAAGAAAUCUGAAGGCCAGAAAAUUCCUAAAGUUGAAUUGCAAAUAUCAAUUUAUGGAGUAAAAAUCCUAGAACCUAAAACAAAGGUAAGCAUUAUUUUUGAGUGUCUUGUAAUUAUAUUUCUAUUAUUUUAAUGAAUAUUUAAAAUUUCUUACCAACCCGAACUGUUUAGUUCUCAGUUAAUUAUGACUUAAAGUGCUAGGAUUUUU